GCCACGGUGGUCUAGCGGUUAGAACGCUGGCCUUGUAAUCCUGGGGUCCCGGGUUCAAUUCCCGGUGGUGCUC
rfam:Zootermopsis nevadensis contig13563, whole genome shotgun sequence.